rnacentral:rRNA from 1 species
CAGUAGCCACGGUAACACGUAGGGUGCAAGCGUUAAUCGGAAUUACUGGGCGUAAAGCGUGCGCAGGCGGUGUUGUAAGACUGAUGUGAAAUCCCCGGGCUCAACCUGGGAACUGCAUUGGUGACUGCAACGCUGGAGUGCGGCAGAGGGGGAUGGAAUUCCGCGUGUAGCAGUGAAAUGCGUAGAUAUGCGGAGGAACACCGAUGGCGAAGGCAAUCCCCUGGGCCUGCACUGACGCUCAUGCAUGAAAGCGUGGGGAGCAAACAGGAUUAGAUACCCCAGUAGUCCCUGUCUCUUAUAC